rnacentral:lncRNA from 1 species
GGACAGGACGGGCUUCCUCUGCCCCUCUGAGUUAUUGCUUGGUUUUCUCUACUUUCCUUUCAGCCUAGGCAGGUGUUUCCUAGUAAGGGCUAGUCCCACCCCUGAAGGGGAGAAUCUGAUAAAGGGUGGUUGGGGCUUCAGCUUUUCCUCCAGUGUUCUGGGACCCUCCAACGCUAAGGAUUCCCUUUCCUGUGGUCCUCCAGGUCUAAGCAGCGACAGUGGUCUAGGAGGUAGCUCUGAUGGCAGUUCGGAUGUUCUUGCCUUCGGGACAGGACCCCACUCCUUCCUGCUAUGAUCACACUCACUUAAUAAAUCUCUGCCGCUCGC